rnacentral:misc_RNA from 1 species
GAUGAAGAACGUAGCGAAAUGCGAUAAGUAGUGUGAAUUGCAGAAUUCAGUGAAUCAUCGAAUCUUUGAACGCACAUUGCGCCCCUUGGUAUUCCAUGGGGCAUGCCUGUUCGAGCGUCAUUUGUACCUUCAAGCUUUGCUUGGUGUUGGGUGUUUGUCCUUUCUCUUGCAGAGGGACUCGCCUUAAAGUAAUUGGCAGCCAGUGUUUUGGUUUUGAAGCGCAGCACAAGUCGCGAUUCAAAGCUAUACGCCAGCUUCCACAAGCCUUUUUCCCUUUUGACCUCGGAUCAGGUAGGGAUACCCGCUGAACUUAAGCAUAUCAAUAAGCGGAGGA